UAGAAUAGUGGAACGCAAUGAGGGAUAUCCUUCACUUGGGCACUUGGGAUAUCCGGAGUGAGUAGUGCAACCGGCCACGGCGAGA
rnacentral:ncRNA from 2 species